rnacentral:rRNA from 1 species
AACGAACGCUGGCGGCAUGCCUAACACAUGCAAGUCGAACGAGACCUUCGGGUCUAGUGGCGCACGGGUGCGUAACGCGUGGGAACCUGCCCUUAGGUUCGGAAUAACUCCCCGAAAGGGGUGCUAAUACCGGAUAAUGUCUUCGGACCAAAGAUUUAUCGCCUUUGGAUGGGCCCGCGUUGGAUUAGCUAGUUGGUAGGGUAAAAGCCUACCAAGGCGACGAUCCAUAGCUGGUCUGAGAGGAUGAUCAGCCACACUGGGACUGAGACACGGCCCAGACUCCUACGGGAGGCAGCAGUGGGGAAUAUUGGACAAUGGGCGAAAGCCUGAUCCAGCAAUGCCGCGUGAGUGAUGAAGGCCUUAGGGUUGUAAAGCUCUUUUACCCGGGAUGAUAAUGACAGUACCGGGAGAAUAAGCGCCGGCUAACUCCGU